rnacentral:rRNA from 1 species
GACGAACGCUGGCGGCGUGCUUAACACAUGCAAGUCGAACGAUGAAGCCGGGGCUUGCUCUGGUGAAUUAGUGGCGAACGGGUGAGUAACACGUGAGUAACCUGCCCUUGACUCUGGGAUAACUGCGGGAAACUGUAGCUAAUACCGGAUACGACCCUCGGAGGCAUCUCCUGGGGGUGGAAAGAAUUUCGGUCAAGGAUGGACUCGCGGCCUAUCAGCUAGUUGGUGAGGUAACGGCUCACCAAGGCGACGACGGGUAGCUGGCCUGAGAGGGUGACCGGCCACACUGGGACUGAGACACGGCCCAGACUCCUACGGGAGGCAGCAGUGGGGAAUAUUGCACAAUGGGCGCAAGCCUGAUGCAGCAACGCCGCGUGAGGGAUGACGGCCUUCGGGUUGUAAACCUCUUUUAGCAGGGAAGAAGCGAAAGUGACGGUACCUGCAGAAAAAGCACCGGCUAACUACGUGCCAGCCGCCGCGGUAA